rnacentral:rRNA from 1 species
GUAGGGUGCAAGCGUUAAUCGGAAUUACUGGGCGUAAAGCGUGCGCAGGCGGUUUUGUAAGUCUGUCGUGAAAGCCCCGGGCUCAACCUGGGAAUUGCGGUGGAGACUGCAAGGCUUGAAUCUGGCAGAGGGGGUAGAAUUCCACGUGUAGCAGUGAAAUGCGUAGAGAUGUGGAGGAACACCGAUGGCGAAGGCAGCCCCCUGGGUCAAGAUUGACGCUCAUGCACGAAAGCGUGGGGGGAGCAAACAGGAUUAGAUACCCUGGUAGUCCACGCCCUAAACGAUGUCUACUAGUUGUCGGGUUUUAAUUAACUUGGUAACGCAGCUAACGCGUGAAGUAGACCGCCUGGGGAUACGGUCGCAAGAUUA